CGUGGUAUAGCGCAGUCUGGUAGCGCGCCUUCUUUGGGUGCAGGUUGUCGGGUGUUCGAAUCUCUCUACCCCGUCCA
rnacentral:tRNA from 1 species